UACGAAGGGGGCUAGCGUGGUUCGGAUUUACUGGGCGUAAAGCGCGUGUAGGCGGACUUGUAAGUUGGGGGUGAAAUCCCGGAGCUCAACUCCGGAACUGCCUCCAAAACUACAAGUCUGGAGCAAGAUAGAGGCAAGUGGAAUUGCGAGUGUAGAGGUGAAAUUCGUAGAUAUUCGCAAGAACACCAGUGGCGAAGGCGGCUCACUGGCCCGAUACUGACGCUGAGGCACGAAAGCGUGGGGAGCAAACAGG
rnacentral:rRNA from 1 species